CUAAGGUUCAAGGUGAAUCAAAUCGAACUACUUUUCAGAACUUAUUUAAAUCUCUUUAUCUUCUUCCUAAUUUUUCAAAUUCUAUAUUCAAGCCAUGGAACUGAACAAGUGAAAUUAGUUUUGAAGAUUCUACCGUACCUAGGCAAGAUGUUAACAACAUAAAGGAAGAGACAAACACAGACAGUGAUGGGUCAAUAAAUAGAUGAUGGGAUUUUAUUUAUUUAAAGUCACUUAUAGUUAAUUUUUCUUUAUUUUUAUUUCUUUAAGACAUUACUUUUAUUUUUG
rnacentral:lncRNA from 1 species